UAUUGACAUUGAAGUUCUUGGUUUUGUAACAUUUAUACACUAUUUCUGGCACUACCGUCCACGUAGAUGCCAGCAUGUUAUACCGCAAGAGAGCCAGUCAGAGGGCGCUAUCAUGCAAACUAGGGCUGGCUACUCUUGCACAGAAUCACAUCUCGAUAAGUGUCAGUGCAAGAAGGACACUUAUACCAUUUAAUAUGCCGAGGCCACGCGGAGUACGAUCGAGGGUACAGCAUAAUCUCAACUUUUGUUGAAACUCAUUUAUAAUACUAUAUGGAGAAAGUUAAAGGACUGUACUACUUUGUAGGUGUAGCAGUCGCCCAGUGGGAAAGCGCCAUAUAGAUUACAAAUGAGUGGGGAACAAAUUAGGGGAAAUUAAAUUGGCUUAUAAGGGGGAUGGAGC
rfam:Thrush coronavirus HKT12-600, complete genome.